rnacentral:misc_RNA from 1 species
GAAAUGCGAUAAGUAAUGUGAAUUGCAGAAUUCCGUGAAUCAUCGAAUCUUUGAACGCACAUUGCGCCCUUUGGUAUUCCUUGGAGCAUGCCUGUUUGAGUAUCAUGAAAUCUUCAAAGUAAAUCUUUUGUUAACUCAAUUGGUUUCUACUUUGGUAUUGGAGGUCUUUGCAGCUUCACACCUGCUCCUCUUUGUUCAUUAGCUGGAUCUCAGUGUUAUGCUUGGUUCCACUCGGCGUGAUAAGUUAUCUAUCGCUGAGGACACUGUAAAAGGUGGCCAAGGUAAAUGCAGAUGAACCGCUUCUAAUAGUCCAUUGACUUGGACAAUACUUUUAUGAUCUGAUCUCAAAUCAGGUAGGACUACCCGCUGAACUUAAGC